CACGCAGGGGGCGAGCGUUGUCCGGAAUCAUUGGGCGUAAAGAGCUCGUAGGCGGCUCGUCGCGUCGACCGUGAAAACCCGCAGCUUAACUGCGGGCUUGCGGUUGAUACGGGCGGGCUAGAGUUCGGUAGGGGAGACUGGAAUUCCUGGUGUAGCGGUGAAAUGCGCAGAUAUCAGGAGGAACACCGGUGGCGAAGGCGGGUCUCUGGGCCGAUACUGACGCUGAGGAGCGAAAGCGUGGGGAGCGAACAGG
rnacentral:rRNA from 1 species